rnacentral:rRNA from 1 species
UACGGGGGGGGCAAGCGUUGUUCGGAAUUACUGGGCGUAAAGGGCGCGUAGGCGGCCUUCUAAGUCAGACGUGAAAUCCCUCGGCUCAACCGAGGAAGUGCAUCCGAAACUGGCAGGCUAGAGUACUAAAGAGGGUCGCGGAAUUCCCGGUGUAGAGGUGAAAUUCGUAGAUAUCGGGAGGAACACCGGUGGCGAAGGCGGCGACCUGGGUAGAUACUGACGCUGAGGUGCGAAAGCGUGGGGAGCAAACAGG